AACGAACGCUGGCGGCAUGCCUAACACAUGCAAGUCGAACGAAGGCUUCGGCCUUAGUGGCGCACGGGUGAGUAACGCGUGGGAAACUGCCUAUUGGUGGGGAAUAACGACGGGAAACUGUCGCUAAUACCGCAUAAGCCCUUCGGGGGAAAGAUUUAUCGCCGAUAGAUGUGCCCGCGUCCGAUUAGCUAGUUGGUGAGGUAAUGGCUCACCAAGGCGACGACCGGUAGCUGGUCUGAGAGGAUGAUCAGCCACACUGGGACUGAGACACGGCCCAGACUCCUACGGGAGGCAGCAGUGGGGAAGAUUGGACAAUGGGCGAAAGCCUGAUCCAGCAAUGCCGCGUGAGUGAUGAAGGCCUUAGGGUUGUAAAGCUCUUUCGGGUGGGACGAUGAUGACGGUACCACCAGAAGAAGCCCCGGCUAACUUCGUGCCAGCCGCCGCAGUAA
rnacentral:rRNA from 1 species